CCACAGAUGAACAUAGCCUACUCCCCUGGGGGGAAAACAGGAGCCCUGUAAACUGAGAGGGAAAUGACUUGCCAAGACCCGUUGAGACACAGCAAGAAGACAGCCAUCUGCAAACCAGGAAGAGGUUCCUCACCAGGAACGCAGUCUAUCUGCACCCUAAUCUUGGACUUCAGCCUCGAGAACUGAAAUGAAGAAAAGCACAAUGUCAUUAGAGGAGACAGCAUGGCCACGUGUAAGAGCUCAAACUCCUGCAGAAUUCCAACCACACAGAGGAGAGGAGAAAAGCCCAAGCAACGUGGUGUAUCGGAACCCAUUUACCACCAUGUGUGCAUGUGACUUUCAGGAGUGAAAUGAAAGGAUGCUAGCCAAAUCACAGCAUGGCGGGAGUUCCCUCCAGAGGCUGGCCACAGUGAUGGCAAGAAAAGCAAACAAAAGGAACAUUCUUUCUCCUCGUGAGUGAAACAAAGACCCUACUGAGAAGACUGAAGUGAGCAGUAGAGCUGUAAAAUCAACAGAAAUGGGGGCUGUCUGUGGGGGAGGCAUCUGGUUUCAAUGUAAACAUCCUUAAAAUGUUUCAAGAAUGAA